rnacentral:rRNA from 1 species
UCCUGCUAAAGGAAUCUUUUGCCGGUUCUAAAAGUACCGGUGAAUAAGGGGUGGGCAAGUCUGGUGUCAGCCGCCGCGGUAAUACCAGCACCUCGAGUGAUCAGGACGUUUAUUGGGCCUAAAGCAUCCGUAGCUGGCUUUGCAAGUCUCCGGUUAAAUCAACCUGCUCAACAGAUUGGCCGCUGGAGAUACUACAAAGCUAGGGAGUGGGAGAGGCAGACGGUAUUCGGGGGGUAGGGGUAAAAUCCUCUGAUCCUCUGAGGACCACCAGUGGCGAAGGCGGUCUGCCAGAACACGUUCGACAGUGAGGGAUGAAAGCUGGGGGAGCAAACCGGAUUAGAUACCCCCGUAGUCC